CUUGAAGAGGAUUUGCAAAGAGGAGUGGCACCAAAUCACUCCUGAGAUGAGUGCCAAUCUGGUGGCCAACUUAACUAAACAUCUGACCUCUGUGAUUGCCAACAAGGGUUUUGCCACCAAGUAGUCAAAUACUUAUUUCACUCAUUGAUAUGCAUCUUAAUUUAUACCUUUUUUGACAUGCAUUUUUCUGGUUUUUUUUUGGUU